AAGAGCGGCUGCUGCCGGGACAAAUACUCUUCACUGCUCGUCGUGAGGCCACACUAGCCUGGAUCGCAGCUGCCAACGAAGGCCUUUUCUAUGCGCCAGAACGGUGGUGCCUGUUUUGAUCUCCUCCUUCCUUACCCUUCAGCCCAUUAUAUGUCGAUUCUGAAGCCAAGCACCGUUUGAUGAUCUGGCAAAGGGUUAUCAAACCAUAGUAAAAGGAUAUGAAGAUCAACAACAGCAUGAUGACCUAUUUUGUUCAAGCAAAGCUAAAUAGAAAAAGAGGAAAAUUCUAGAUUUAGAAGAGGAAAAUUCAAGACAGUAGAGGAAUCUUAAUUGGACAGAUUGUAAGUCCAUGUGCCUGGUGUUUCAUUCUGUGCCUAUACCCAUUCGUCUUCUCAAGUAUAAGGCUAUUCAUUAGUUAUAAUCUAUUUGACCGCUACUUAUGUCUACAAAUUUUAGCUAAUUUAAUUCCAACCAACUAUUGUGAAACAAAAUCCAUGUAAUGACUAUUUACCGCUACUAUGUCAUGUUUUGAGGUUUUUUAUUGGCAGAAUGAAUUCACCUCAUCCCUGGUUAGCAUUAGAAAGUUGAAGCAAACAUCAAGUUUGUGCUUGAUUGACACAGUUCACAAGUUAUGAACC